AUGGACCCUUCCUCUCUCUCCCUUACCAUGCUCACAGGAGGCGGUGGCAAUGGCAAAGUGGAGAUGCGGUGGUGUUGGAGGAUGCGGAUGCGCCAUCACGGCACUUGGAAGAAGUGGAUCUACCAGCGGCUUGGUUGGGAACUCCUUCCCUUCUUCCUUUGCAACCACUGUGACACCGAUCGACAAGCUUUGCUGAGGCGGAUUCAUCGGCAACAACCUUGGAAACACCGGGAUCUAUCUGUUGUGGGCUGCGGAGUGGAGGAGGACCUCGUCUUUGCCCUCGAGGAGGACCUCCAUGCAAAACAGCUGAUCACCUCAUCGAACUUCAAGCGGCGCGGACAAGUUCUCGGUGGCGGAUCCGGAGGCGGGCUCGACGCCGCCGUCCUCCUCCCCCACGACGGUGCGGACGAGCUCGCCGACGGCGUGGCGAGCUUGGUGGCGUCUGGCUCGCCGAAUUCGGGCGCGAGCUCGCUGGAUCUGGCGGCGGGGGCCACAACGGCGGUGGUUCCUCUUCCCCUUCCUUCUUCUCGAGCGUUGGCAGCGGAUCCGGAUGCGGGCUCGACGCCGCCGUCCUCCUCUCCCCACGACGACGCGGAAGAGCUCAUCGAUGGCGGGCUCGCCGGAUCCAGGUGCAGGCUCGCCGGAUCUGGCGGCGAGGGCCACAACGGCGGC
rnacentral:lncRNA from 1 species